CUCUGCUUUGAUACAAACCUCACACAGCCAGCCAGUGCCUUGUCAACUGUUCAGGGAAUUAAAAUGCCUCUAAGACACAGCUUCAUCAAAGAACACAUGAAAUUUGAAAGGCAUGAGGUGAGGGGGGCAUUCUUAAGGACAAAUUUUUGAAGACACCACCUUCCCCUAAGGAAGCCUCUCCAUUCUCCUUAAGUAAUGAGAUGGGGAAAAUACAGCUUGGAGGUUCGGUUGACCUGAAUUGGAAUCCUACUCAUUUGUCAACUUGCUGUGAGCUUCUGAAUGUCAUGAGAGGAGCAACUUUAUUCACCACAUGCUCCUGCUACGGUUUUCCACGCUCCACAGACCCAAAUUAAGUGACCUCUGAAAUCAUGAGCCAUAAGCCUUUGCCCUGAUUAAAUACCUUCAGUGUUUUAUCACAGUGUCAGAAAGCUGGUAA